rnacentral:tRNA from 12 species
GUCUGGGCCGCGUUGCAGACUUCAAACCCGGACGAUGCCAUCGAGCGGGCCAUGGA